rnacentral:rRNA from 1 species
GCCAAACAGCUAGCUCAAUUACCCAAUAACUAAACAAUGUAAAUAAAACAAAAUAAGCCUAACACCAAAAAUUAAAUCAUUCUUUUACCUUAGUAUGGGCGACAGAAAAGGUUACACCAGGAGCAAUAGAAAAAGUACCGCAAGGGAAAGCUGAAAGAGAAAUGAAAUAACUUAUAUAAGCACCAAAAAGCAAAGAUUAAAUCUUGUACCUUUCGCAUCAUGAUUUAGCCAGUAUACCCAAGCAAAGAGACCUUUAGUUUGAAACCCCGAAACCAAGUGAGCUACCCCGAGACAGCCUAUUAAGGGCCAACCCGUCUCUGUGGCAAAAGAGUGGGAAGAGCUCCGGGUAGAGGUGACAGACCUACCGAACUUGGUGAUAGCUGGUUGCCUAAGAAGUGAAUAGAAGUUCAGCCUCGUACUCCCUGAAUCAUAAAGGUAUAGAAAGAUAUUAGAGGGAAAUAUAUGAGAGUUAGUUAAAGGGGGUACAGCCCCUUUAACGAAGGACACAACCUUUCCAGGAGGAUAAAGAUCAUAAUACAUAAGACAUCCUGUUCUAGUGGGCCUAAAGGCAGCCAUCUAAACAGAAAGCGUUAAAGCUCAGACAGAAAUAAGUUUAUUAUUCCGACAAGAAAUCUUACUCCCCUAAAUAUUAUUAGGCCAGCCCAUGCCCACAUGGGAGAGACUAUGCUAAAAUGAGUAACAAGAAGGCCAGCCCUUCUCCAAGCACAAGUGUAAGCCAAACCGGACCAACCAUUGGCAAUUAACGAACUCAACCCGAGAGAGUAAUGUGUAUUACAACAAAACCAGGAAGAACCCACAAUUAAACCAUCGUUACCCCCACACUGGUGUGCUAUUAAAGGAAAGACUAAAAGAAGGGAAAGGAACUCGGCAAACACAAGCCUCGCCUGUUUACCAAAAACAUCGCCUCCUGCGACACAGCCAAGUAUAGGAGGUCCAGCCUGCCCAGUGACUACAAGUUCAACGGCCGCGGUAUUUUGACCGUGCAAAGGUAGCGCAAUCACUUGUCUCUUAAAUGGAGACCUGUAUGAAUGGCUAAACGAGGGCUUAACUGUCUCCCCCCUCCAGUCAGUGAAAUUGAUCUACCCGUGCAGAAGCGGG